GCGGCCGGGGCCGUCUGUUGCCAUGGCAGCGCGCUCUCAUCGCGCGGCGGAGCGGGGCCGGGCGGGUUCCGGCGACGAGGGGCUGCGAGGAGAGCCCGGGACCGCGCGGGGGAAGGGCCGGAGGCGCGGCGCGGCGAUCCCGCGGCGGAAGGGCUCGAAAGCGAAAUUAAAAGCCCUCGGCGUGCCGCUGCACGGACGCGCAGCCCCGCGGCGCUCUGCCCGCGCGCGGAGGGGCUCCCGGCACGGCGCGGCUCGGGGCGUCCCCUCUCCCGGCUCGGCACGGGGUGCCCCCCGCCCGGCUCGGCACGGCUGCCCGCGGAGCGCCUGCUGUGCGGCCAACGGCGCUCAAACAGCCGCGGCUCCCCGCGCCGCACGGCGCAUUAUAUAACGGCUUCCGACUCGCUCGCUCCUCCGUUAGCGCUCGGCGGUAAUUCCUCCUCUGCUCGCGCUCCCCGCUCCGUCACGUUAUUAUCGCUAUCGCAGCGGGCGCUGACGUUUCCCAGCGCCUUUAAUUCAGACUUCGCUACCCCCAGGAAUCGCGCUCGCGGAUCGCGGCCCUACCGGGGCUGCCGGGGGAGGAGGAGGAGGGGAUAUCGAACAACACCGACCCGACCCCGAGCUCCGGUCGGCGCCGGGGCCGAGCGGCGCUGCCCCGCGGCCCUCCCACCCGCGCUCCCCCGGCGGCGGUACCGGGCGUUGUCCGCGGGCGGCCUGGGCCCCGGGAGCGGCGGCGCGGGGUGGCCGGCGGGCACGGCCCCGUCCCAGCGCCGCCUCCUCCUCCGCCAGCCGCUCGCUUCAUUCACCCUCAGCGGCCGCCCAGCCCCUACUACAUGCGCCGUGCGGCCGGGCCGCGGCCCCCCCGCUCCCACACACGCACACACACACACAUACACACACACACACGCACAGGCGCCGUGUCAGCACCCCGUCACGCACCGCACCGCCACACACACACACACACACACACACACAAACACACACCCCGCAAAAUGUCCACCGCGGACACCGGCACCCUGCCGGCGGGGUGAGGAAGAAGAAACGAGGAGGAGGAGCGGAAGGGCCGUACGAGCCCCGGGCCCAGGCCGCUGCCCUCGGCCAUGUCGUGGCCCCCGCCCGGGCCGGGCCCUGAGGCUGGGCCGCAGCGCUGCCCCCCCCGCACACACACACACACACACACACGCACACGCACAGCCGCCCCCGGCCCCGUGUUUUUCCAGCCGGGAACCGCGGGUGGCUCCGCAGCCCAAACAAGGGGAGAAGCCGGGGGAGGAGGAGGAGGAGAAGAAGGAGGAGGAGGAGGAGCGGGGGGGGCAGAAAGCAGAGGAGGAAGAAAAAGGCACUUACUGUAAAGUGUCAGUGGAGGUGGGGCUGGCGGGGGGGUCGGACCGAGACUCGCGCACCGCCGUCCUCCCGGGGCGGGGGUCUGUGUGUGUGUGUGUGUGUAAAUGUGUGUGUGUAAAUAUGUGUGUGUGUAUGUGGGCUCCUUCCCCCGCGGGUACACGCUGCGGGCUGCUCCGGCGCUGUAGUAGAAAUGAUGUCUGCGGUACAGCGCUCGCUGCCGCUCCGCUCUCCAGUAUGUAA
ensembl:lncRNA